CAGCCCCGCCUCUUGAAAACCCAGUCUCUCCAUUAGUCUCUCCAGUCAAGGGGGCAGGGGCACUGCUCCUUUAAUGUCCCAGAGGUAAGGCCUGUGGGUUUUACCUGUUGAGAAGAGAAGGAGGCUGAGGAGAGAAGACAGAGUGUGUUCCUCUGGCAUUCUGGGAGAUGAUUGCUGCUCUGGAUCUAGAGGGCCAAGGAAAGAGCCUGAGCCCCAGGUGCAUCCUGGAAGACCCUGACCCCUGGUCCAACCCCGCCUCCCAAGGACGUGUUGGUGCAGACAGGACUGGACAGAACAGAAAGCCACAGCACAGCCCCGAACCGGACCACCCGACCCUGUGGACAGUGGAGGACUGACCAGCUACUCACCUGGUGUUAUGGACACUCAUAGAUUGAUUGCGCCGGCCCCACCAUGAGGGAAUCGGUUGGCACUGGGCUGCUGCCCCCUGGUCACCGCUCCCCCACGCCCUGGCCCCCCACCCCCCUGGCCCCCCAACCCACAACUGUAUCCCCUCCUUCCAGACAAUGCCAUUUCUUUUAGGAGUCAAGGGUCAAACCCCGCAUCAUGGGUGCCAAAUCAGUCUCUUGCAACUCUAGGAGGUGAUGGAGGUGUGUGUGUGUGUGUGUCUGUUUCUUGUGUGAGAGCGAGGGCUGGGACAUGAGCAGGGCGAGAGGGGCUGCCCUACUUCGGAGGGGUAAAGGUUUCUGGAAACAGGGGUCUAGAGUCCUGUGCCUGUACUCCGUGGACCUCAAGACCGGGUGUGAAGUCGUGCCGGGGCCCUUAAUUCUAUAGUCAGUGCGACUUACUCCCGCUCUGGUCCGUUGGGAGUUCUCGGGCCUGCUCUGGCUUCAAGAGUACAGACUCUCUUUCCCACCGAGGGGCGUGCCCGUGGGGGAGUGGGGUACAGGGACAGAAGUAGUGGGGUGUGUGUGUGUGUCUAUCUGUAUGCAUGCGUCACUACUCUAUGUCCUCCAUCCCUCCUGGCUGAGCACAAUAGUGGGGGAGAGGACUAGCAGCAAAUUCUAAAGUGGGAAGAUGCAGAAUGGUUUUCCCCCCCCAAUCCUACCAACAGAAAUGGCACGGUCUGGCCCCCUCCUCUCGUCCUCCCCUCUCUAUCCCCUUGGCUGCCUGGGCUCUGUAAGCCCAUCUACAUCUGUAUGGAAUAAAAUGGAUAUUUUUUUCUGUC